rnacentral:rRNA from 1 species
UACGUAGGGGGCGAGCGUUGUCCGGAUUUACUGGGCGUAAAGGGCGUGCAGGCGGUUUGUUAAGUGCAGGGUGAAAGCUCCCGGCUCAACUGGGAGAGGUCCUUGCAUACUGGCGAACUCGAGGGAGGCAGAGGAAAGUGGAAUUCCCGGUGUAGUGGUGAUAUGCGUAGAUAUCGGGAGGAACACCUGUGGCGAAGGCGGCUUCCUGGCCCUUACCUGACGCUGAGACGCGAAAGCGUGGGGAGCGAACCGG